UGAAUACGAGACGCUAAGGCGUCGAAGUAGUGUAUGUCAUACUUCCAAGAAAAGCUUGCACUGUCAUAGAUAAAAAACGCCUGUACCAUAACCGACACAGGUGUGUAGGUAGAGUAUACUAAGGGGCGCGAGAUAACUCUCUCUAAGGAACUCGGCAAAAUAACUCCGUAACUUCGGGAGAAGGAGUGCCUUAUUAUUAAGGCUGCAAUAACAAGAUCCAAGCAACUGUUUAUCAAAAACACAGGUCUCCGCUAAGUCGUAAGACGAUGUAUGGGGGCUGACGCCUGCCCAGUGCCAGAAGGUUAAAGAAGUUGGUUAGCAUUUGCGAAGCUGAUAACUGAAGCCCUGGUGAACGGCGGCCGUAACAAUAACGGUCCUAAGGUAGCGAAAUUUCUUGUCGGGUAAGUUCCGACCCGCACGAAAGGCGUAAUGAUUUGGAUACUGUCUCGGAGAGGGGCUCGGUGAAAUAGACUUGUCUGUGAAGAUGCGGACUACCUGCACCAGGACAGAAAGACCCUAUGAAGCUUUACUGUAACUUGAAAUUGAAAUUGGACUUUAUUCGCGCAGCAUAGGUGGGAGGCGUUGAUUAUAAUCUUGUGGGAUUAUUGGAGCCAUCAGUGAGAUACCACUCUUGUAAUGUUAGAUUUCUAACUUUGAAUCAUUAUCUGGUCAAAGAACAGUUUCAGGCGGGCAGUUUGACUGGGGCGGUCGCCUCCUAAACGGUAACGGAGGCGUACAAAGGUUUCCUCUGAACGGUUAGAAAUCGUAUCUAGAGUGUAAAGGCAUAAGGAAGCUUGACUGUGAGACCUACAAGUCGAGCAGGGACGAAAGUCGGUCUUAGUGAUCUGACGGUACUGAGUGGAAAGGCCGUCACUCAACGGAUAAAAGUUACUCUAGGAUAACAGGCUGAUCUCCCCCAAGAGUUCACAUCGACGGGGAGGUUUGGCACCUCGAUGUCGGCUCAUCGCAUCCUGGGGCGGUAGUACGUCCCAAGGGUUGGGCUGUUCGCCCAUGAAAGCGGUACGCGAGCUGGGUUCAGAACGUCGUGAGACAGUUCGGUCCAUAUCCGGUGUAGGCGUUAGAAUAUUGAGAGGAGCCUUCUUUAGUACGAGAGGACCGAGAAGGACAUACCUCUGGUGUACCAGUUAUCGUGCCAACGGUAAACGCUGGGUAGCUAUGUAUGGAGUGGAUAACCGCUGAAAGCAUCUAAGUGGGAAGCCCACCUCAAGAUAAGUAUUCUCC
rnacentral:rRNA from 1 species